AAGUCGUAACAAGGUAUCCGUAGGUGAACCUGCGGAUGGAUCAUUAACGAUACGUGUUCUUUUUUUCUUCACGGAAAAAAAGCACGUCAUACCAACCAAACCUGUGCGAGGAGAAACUGUUCGCAGUUGCUCCGUUUCUUUCUAUUUCUUUUCUUUAUACAAACCUAAAAACCCCAUUUCUUCGUUUUCGAAGGACUGAAACCACACUGUUUCAAAUCGAAAGUAAGCGUCAACGAGCCUAUCUCGUGUCUAUUAGACUUCGGUCGAACGGACGAGCGUUCGGUUGGCACUUCGAUUAGAUAUGAAAUCCUGUACAACUCUUAGCAACGGAUAUCUUGGUUCUC
rnacentral:misc_RNA from 1 species